rnacentral:rRNA from 1 species
AGUUGAGCGAUUUACUUCGGUAAGAGCGGCGGACGGGUGAGUAACGCGUGGGUAACCUACCCUGUACACACGGAUAACAUACCGAAAGGUAUGCUAAUACGGGAUAAUAUAUUUGAGAGGCAUCUCUUAAAUAUCAAAGGUGAGCCAGUACAGGAUGGACCCGCGUCUGAUUAGCUAGUUGGUAAGGUAACGGCUUACCAAGGCGACGAUCAGUAGCCGACCUGAGAGGGUGAUCGGCCACAUUGGAACUGAGACACGGUCCAAACUCCUACGGGAGGCGGCAGUGGGGAAUAUUGCACAAUGGGCGAAAGCCUGAUGCAGCAACGCCGCGUGAGUGAUGAAGGCCUUCGGGUCGUAAAACCCUGUCCUCAAGGAAGAUAAUGACGGUACUUGAGGAGGAAGCCCCGGCUAACUACGUGCCAGCAGCCGCGGUAAUACGUAGGGGGCUAGCGUUAUCCGGAUUUACUGGGCGUAAAGGGUGCGUAGGCGGUCUUUCAAGUCAGGAGUGAAAGGCUACGGCUCAACCGUAGUAAGCUCUUGAAACUGGGAGACUUGAGUGCAGGAGAGGAGAGUGGAAUUCCUAGUGUAGCGGUGAAAU